GGGCAGCGUUCUGGGAGGUCACCUACGACGUGUGUGCCCUCUCUUUACACCUGAAUCCCCUGUUGAACCUCAUGAUCCAGACAACAGAGGGAGAACUCAGAAGUUGUCCAGAAAGGAGCCAUUUUUCCAAGAGACACAUGAUUUUGUGCGGGUUGAGUUCCUAGUUUUAGUGCCAGAAAAACAAAAAUUUUUAAAGGUGAAGACUCACCUUGCUGACGUGAGAUUUUCCUUGUACUAAAAGUCCUGAUCUUCAUUCUUUUAUGGUUUGGCAGGGCUGAUCUUACCGUUAGAGGAAAGAGUGUCUCAUGGUUGCAGGAGCUGAGCCAAAAACUCCACUGACCAAACCCAACACUGCUCUUCCCCAGGCACGAUGCCUGCAUUCCACGUUUGCAGAGAGUUCUCACUGUGGGUUCCACUGAUGAGUCUAGGAGCGCCCUGUUGAAAUUCAAAGUUAUCAAGUGGGGUGGGCGUGGGGAAGGAAGAGGGCAUCAAACAAUUCUCAGACAUCACUACUUGAGACAUUAGGUUAACAGAUAAUAUCCUAGAAUUUAUCUGCCAGGGUUCUAAGGUGUUAACCUCAGAACCCGUAGCUUUACUGGGAUAGGGAGCACAGAGAGGAGUUACAGAAGGCUUGUGUCAGAGGAUGCAUCUUGAUCAGAUGACAUAUUCCAUCAGGGACACCAGAACCUUUGAGGACAUCAGAGUCAGAGCUGUGUCCAUGAUGACUCAGUGGACUCAGCAGCAUGGCAUGCAUGGUGGGACUCCUCAUGGUCACCCUGUGAAACUAGAAGAGACAUGGUCUAGAGCACUGGAAGUUCAGCUCCAGGAGGGCGGGGCUUUUUCCAGUUUGUUCGCCGCUCUGCCUGCAACACCAGGAACAAGGCUUAGCGCAUGUGCACAAAUACAGUUGUCCUUGUGACGUGUCCACUUGAAUGACUCUCAGAGAUUUCAACCUCACAAACGAAACUGGGUCUCUUGAUUCCUCUACCAACCCCCCCUGAAACCUGUUCCACUCUGGACCUCUCCAGCUGAGACCAGGAUGCUGAUAUCCACACAGCUGCCAAGCCAGAAACCUCAUUUAAGCAUUUUUAUUCAAAUAUAGUCUACAGAGCAUAAAAAGCGUAAAAUGGAUGCAUCUGAAGCAUACAGUUCAAGAAAUUUCUACUUAUGAAUACACUUGUGAUCAUUUUCAAGAUGCCAGAAGUUUCCCUUGUGACCUUCUGAGAGUCAUUGAUUCCUCCUUUUCCAUAUCUGAAUCUUCACCAAGUCCUGACUGUUGUUCCUCCAAAAUUUAUCUUGAACUUUUUCGCUUUUCUCCACCACAAUCAUCAAUCUCUAAUAACUUCUCUCCUCACUUCCACUUUUACCAGUUCAUUACCUCUACUGAACGAUCUUUAAGAAAUCAUCACCCUGAUCAUUGCACUUCCCUUCCUCAUCAACUUCCCUUUACACUUAGAAUAAAAUGGAAACUCAUUCUUGAGUCUUACAGUGAAUGCCCUUCAAAAGUAGUCCCUUGAAACCCUCCAACCUCUGCCUCACUCUGUUUCAAGCAUCCUAAUCCCUCUUCCUGUUCCAGUUCCUGGAAAAUGCCCUGGGGCCUUUUGCAUGUGCUGUUCCUUUGGUAUGAACGAUUUUCCUCUUCUUUCUUCUUCACUCUCACCCUACUUCCACUCCACACUCAUACCCUUAAGGGUACAUUAUCUUCACAUGGUUAGUUCCUUCUCAUCCUUCUUUCUCAGAUUAAAUAUCACCUGGCCAUAAAGAUUUUUCCUGCCCCAAAUCUAAAGCACAGCUCCCCAGUUACUCUCAGAGAGUUGUGUCUUUUUCCUUUACAGCAAUUUGCGAUUUAUGUAUUUAGGAGUUGCUUUUGGUUGUAUAUUGUCUAACUUCCCUGCUAACGGAAGCUCUUAGGGAAGCUCCAAGGAUAUUAUUUCAUUCCCUCCUGCUAGCAGCUAACAAUGCACCUGGCAUACAGUAAAAGUAUUUAGAAAAUAAUUGCUGAAUGAAUGAAUAAAUCAAUGAGUGUGUACUUGUCUCUGAGAACAAUGCAAAAGGGAGAACUGAGAGGAAGCAGAGGCUGGUGUGGACAGCCCCUCUGAGGAGAAAUUAAACCUGAGGAAGGAUUUUCUUUUUCUCAAUUGAAUGCAUUUCAGAAAUGGAUCUUGGAGGAUCCUUGUUUUUCUAAGCCAAGCAUCACUCUGAGAAAAGUAAUUUCUUCCCAGGACAUCCCUGGAGAAGAAUUCAGCCAGCACAAGUCAGUUUCCCUCCUGGUUGACCCGUAUGUCCUUUGACCCCCAGCCCUUCUUAUUCCACUGGCACCAACUCUGGGAGGAUUUUGCAUACACUUCACUGGUCCGUACUGUAGUUCCUACAGAAUCAGUAGGUGAUCUGAAUCCUAGAACGCAGUGGCAGGUUGAGGGCUGGGGAUAGAAUGGAGUGGAGAGGCUUAAAAGAGAUGUGGUAGGAAAUCUUUCUGGAAAGAAGUUGAGGUUGGAUUCUAAGAGGAAGUGGUUUUGAAUUUUAAAUUUUGUUUUCUUUUUUUCUAUUGCAAUUCACUUCUGAUAGUCCCAAGCCUUAGUAAGAUUUUGUAAAUACCAUAACCUGGUGUUUGUUGCGCUUUGGAAAAUUCAGGAAGGAUAUUGAGUCAGUAUUUAGUGCGUAGGCAUAUUAGGUCGAAAGCCAGCAGCCUGGAGCAGCAUUGUGAAAUGGAAAGAGGGAUCCAGCAAAGAUGUUCAGAGCAGUAGACCAGAGCAAGAGCUGACUAAUCACUGUAUCAUGGAUUUGUCCAACACGUCACCAUUCUUUAGGAGUUGCAGAAAAACAAGGGGGAGAAGGUUGACAACCCUUGGCUGUACAGGAUAGGGCACAUUCCACAUCAGUAGGUACUAAAUAGAUGAGUGAUUCCUGAAACGCACAAAAUGUGGGGACAUUUGGGUUACAUUCCUUGGGUUGCAUGACUUAAAAUUCUCUCACUUAGACAUUCCUACCUCAAAGUAGACCUCAACUCAGAAAAAUCUAUUGUAUUUUGGGCUGAAAUCUGCCUAUUUCAAAAAGUAAAAAAAAAAAAAACUGUCUGAAUUAACUGGAUCAUCAAUCAGGUACACCUUGGACUGAGUUAACUCAAUGUUGUUUCCUCAAAAUGCCUGAUGUGAUCUAUCAACUUAGGAAAUGGGAAAUUUAAUGGAGAUGCAGGGGGACAGUGUCAUUUUGGCCUCAGUGCUUUGUCAGAGCAUGUGGGAGUGACAGGCUUGGGGCUUUUAAGAACCGGAGAGUUACCAAAAGGAACUGAAUGUUUAGGGUGUGGAGCAGUGAAAGAAGACUGGAGAAUGCGAGGUGAGGUACUGCCCAAAGAGGAAUUCUGCUGACUUUGUAGUUCUGUUUUUUGCUAUAUUCAAUCAUCUUUAAAUGAGUCAGUGGUAUAAUUGAAUGCAGUUGUUAAAAUAGCCCAAAUAAAAUCAGCCUGCCACAUUUGAAUAUUUCCAAGGAGUGGGAGAGAAAAAGGGAAGAUUUAUAGUAUGUGGCCUGCCUCCCUACAUCACUAGCGGAGCCUGCUCUACAACUUUGACUUAAGUUCUUAAUAAUAACAAUGGGGUGGUUUUGCUGGCUUUGUUAGAUAGUUAACCCAAAUGCUCUGUUUAUUUCAUGGAAUAUUAUGCCUUGAUCUCAGAGGAAAUACUUAAAUUUGAAAAAGUGGAGAUGCCUGUGUGUGUCAUUCUUGUUUGGAAUACGAGCUCAGUGAAAACAGGAUCUAACUCAAUGUUCAUAAUUAGAGCAGUGGCCAACUCUUCGGCUGGGGCUCAUUAUGUGCCAGGCCCUACUACCUGCAUAUUUCAUGUCAUCCUCACUACAAUUAUUUGAGGUAGGUACUAUAACUACUGCUAUUCCACAGAUGAAAAAAGAGAUGCUUUGAGAGGUUGAGAACUUCCUGACCUACCCAAGUCCAGACCACUAGUGAGGAGCUGGCCAGAAAUUGAGUAGGUCUGUUUGAGUUCAGAGCCAUGAGCUACCCAGUAGACAGGGCUGCUGCUGUACACCAGUAGUAGUAACCAUUACUAGUAUUAUUUACCAUGAGUACGUAGUACAAUGCUUGAGAGAACCAGAUGACCUACAGUGUUGGAGAUACUAAUCAAGCAGAUAGUAGCUCAUUGGCAGUUACAGACUGUCAACCCCAGUUUUGAUAUCUAAUUGUAGCAAGACGUGGAACCAUGAUCUAAGUCUGGAGUCAGCAACCCAGGUACUGGCCAUGGCUCCUGCUGUGAGUCCUUGGACAAAUCAUUUAGGUGCCCUGGGCCCAAGGAUCCAUCCCAUGUGAUACAAAGGAAUUAGAUGAUUUUAUAAAUAAUAGAGCUUUUCCAGCUCUAACAUUCCAAGAGUCUACAAGUCAUAUGAGAAUAUGAAUCUCACCACUCUCUAUAGCACAUGAAAUUAAUUGUGGCGAACUCUGAUGUAGCCCAAAACCCAUACAGGUCUCGCAAAUGGACUUGGGCCAAAGAAAAAGAAAAAUGUACCACCUGGCCACUUGGCAGCACAAAAGAACUUGCAAAAAGAUAAAGAAAAGAUUUUUUCUACCGUUGCUCCAGCACAUUUUCCUAUAAUGUUGUUUCUCUCACAGAUGUCUCAAGUUGCAAGCCUUCAGGAUUUCUAGAUAGAAUCCACACCCUGGCUGGUCACUGUUCUCCCAGUCACUAGCAAUUCCCAUAGAUGGGAAAGUUUGCUAAGAAGUGUAAAGUGCAAUUUUUCUGUUUAUUUUUUAUGAACACCUCUUUAAAUUCUGAGAUACGGGGCCUGAUUGGAUAGAUAGGAUUGCUGAAUAAAAUACAGGAUGUCAAGUUAAAUUUGAAUUUUAGACAAACUAGGAAUCAAUUCAAUAUCCCCAUAAUUACGUGGAACAUACAUAUACCAAAAGAUUAUUCCUCAUUUAUCAGAAAUUCAAAUUUAACUGCAUGUCUCGUAUUUUUGUUUGCUAAAUAUGGCAACCCUACUCAUAGAAGGAAGAAUAUUUUAUAUAGCUUUUUGGGUGGGAUUAGGUCAAAAGCCUUACAAACUGGAACACCAACAACUUAGACUUCUAUUUAUUACUUUGCUCAUUUCAAUACUCUCACGUUAAACAUCUGCCAUGCUAUCACUGUGUUUUCAGUGGGCGUAUUUGUGUUUAAAUUUCUCAGGUUAUAAGUGACUCCUUUUUAAAGGGAAAAAAACCCACACACAUCAGAAAGUCCAUUCAUUAUAUCAAAGAGAUCCUAACUAUUGAUAGGAGAACUUCUAAACGAGGCAGCAUAUUUUGGCCCACAUCUGUGACUAAGUUCUUUGAACUAAUUGGGAAAUACUGUAUGCUGGCAGGCUUUAAUGGAGAAAUAUGUUCCCCCUAAGGGUUAUUUGUCUAAUUGGCUGUAGAAAUGCUUUUCUCUGCUUCAGAAAGCUUUUUCCCGUUUGCUAAUGUUACAGCUUCUCCACCUUUCCUCUACCACCAAAGUUGAUGCUGCACUGAGUUCACUGAACUCUGUUCAGAAUUCUGUGAUUAAACUGGACAAGGUUUCAGAUCUGAAUUCAGCUUGACACAAGGCAUUUCAUCUUUCUGGUCUGCAGUUACCUCCUCCAGAAAGUGUGUUAGAAGAGAUCAUCUCUGAACUUCCACAGUCUACCAUUUACUGAUUCAAACAAAGGAAAGGUCUGGGGGGCCCAGAAGAGGGUAAACCAAGCAAGUACAAAAUAGGGUUUUAGUUUUUGUUUCAUUUCAAAGCCCCCUUUUCCCAGGUCCUUUAGCUAUGGUGGAACUAGGUUGCCCAAAAGAUUUUUGGAUAUGUUUCCCUAUUCAAUGAUAAACACCUUCUGGAUUCCAAGGAAUUUAACAUUUUGCUAUGAAACAUAAAAUUUAGCUAUAAUAUUAAAGAACCCAAAGAGAUACUUUGUCUAUAUGUUCCUAAAUAUUUAGGAUUUGAAUGC
ensembl:lncRNA